GGAUGUGAGGGCGAUCUGGCUGCGACAUCUGUCACCCCAUUGAUUGCCAGGGUUGAUUCGGCUGAUCUGGCUGGCUAGGCGGGUGUCCCCUUCCUCCCUCACCACUCCAUGUGCGUCCCUCCCGAAGCUGCGCGCUCGGUCGAAGAGGACGGCCUUCCCCAAAUAGAGACGGACCGGUCUUCGGUCGAGGGUAUACGAGUAGCUGCGCUCCCCUGCUAGAACCUCCAAACAAGCUCUCAAGAUUGUCCCCAGAUCGGGGUGUCUGUCAAAUUAGCCCAAUGGAGUGGGGUGUCCGUCAGGGGCAACCAGAAUU
ensembl:misc_RNA 7SK 7SK RNA